rnacentral:misc_RNA from 1 species
UUUUCAUUCUUGCUCCAAGAGCAAUAUGCCUUGGACCAAUUCGGUUGCCUGUGUUGUAUACCUACGUUGAUGGAAUUCGCUCGUCCAAUCACCCCUUAUUCACCUUGUGCUGCUUACGCGGUGCAGGAUGAACCAUGCAGUGUCCUUUGUUGGGCAUUCUUGCCUUGCGUUCGCGCGAUGUAGGAAAUGGCCAAUGUCUGACACUCGAAUUCUCGGAUACGGAACCUUAAGCGUGCAACGGGUCUUUGGCCUUGAUUUGCCCAAACUAAGUUCUUACGAACGACUGUCAUGCCCGUUUUGACCUGAGGAUGCUUUUGGUCCGACUGGCUCAUGCGGUGCAGACGUCGAAGAGGAAUGCUACC